GUGGGGAAUCUUGCGCAAUGGGCGAAAGCCUGACGCAGCCAUGCCGCGUGAAUGAUGAAGGUCUUAGGAUUGUAAAAUUCUUUCACCGGGGACGAUAAUGACGGUACCCGGAGAAGAAGCCCCGGCUAACUUCGUGCCAGCAGCCGCGGUAAUACGAAGGGGGCUAGCGUUGCUCGGAAUUACUGGGCGUAAAGGGAGCGUAGGCGGAUAGUUCAGUCAGAGGUGAAAGCCCAGGGCUCAACCUUGGAAUUGCCUUUGAUACUGGCUGUCUUGAGUAUGGGAGAGGUUAGCGGAACUCCGAGUGUAGCGGUGAAAUUCGUAGAUAUUCGGAAGAACACCAGUGGCGAAGGCGGCUAACUGGCCCAUUACUGACGCUGAGGCUCGAAAGCGUGGGGAGCAAACAGGAUUAGAAACCCUGGUAGUCC
rnacentral:rRNA from 1 species